rnacentral:tRNA from 1 species
GGAGGGUAUAGCUCAGUGGUAGAGCACAUGCUUAGCAUGCACGAGGUCCUGGGUUCGAUCCCCAGUACCUCCU